UUUAGGGUGUAGGAUUUAUGU
rnacentral:siRNA from 1 species